UGUGUAGGCGGUUCUCUAAGUUCCGUGUGAAAUCUCCCGGCUUAACUGGGAGGGUGCGCGGGAAACUGGAGGGCUUGAGUAUGGGAGAGGAAAGCGGAAUUCCUGGUGUAGCGGUGAAAUGCGUAGAUAUCAGGAGGAACACCUGCGGUGUAGACAGCUUUCUGGACCAUCACUGACGCUGAGACACGAAAGCGUGGGUAGCAAACAGGAUUAGAUACCCUGGUAGUCCACGCCCUAAACGAUGCAUACUUGGUGUGAGCCGUUCAUUCGGUUCGUGCCGGAGCUAACGCGUUAAGUAUGCCGCCUGGGGAGUACGGUCGCAAGGCUGAA
rnacentral:rRNA from 1 species